ACAUCCCCCUCGCUUGGCUGCCAGCUCCCUCCUCCUUCCAGAAGCAGCCUGUUGCAGGGCAGAAGGCAGGACUCUGGCAAGUUCAUGGUCCAGAAAACCUCAUGACCGGUCUGACAUCCAUCCAUCCAACUCCGUCAUCGGGAUCAUCAUCACCUAGCACCGCGUCAGGGUACCCCCGUGGGGCUACACGCCUGGUGUCCGAGAGCCGGUGGAUUUUGACAGUAUCUUUGACAGAUGGGGAAACUGAGGCCUGGAGAGAUGCGAUUUGCCCUGAACGAGGCAGCCUUCUGCAGCAGACAAGGACUGAGCUCUGCAGGCUCCUGGGCCCGAACUCUACGCAUGAGACCACAAGGUCUCUGCCAGAUGAAUCAUCUUGGGUUUUUUUCUUCUUUCAGCUAAGUGGGCUCUGGCCCUGGGUGCUAUCCAGCGGCAGGGAAACGGCUGGUUCCCCAGCUACGCUCCGAGGCAGAGGGGAAAAAGUGAAUCCCUCUUCCUGACCUGGUCAGGCUCCACAGCGUGCUAUGUGGUUUGGGGGGAACUGGAGACAGAGGGAGUCUAGUUGCUGGAAGGGACAGCAGCCAGGGAAGGGACUGGGAGAGCAGGAGAGGGAAGAGUCGCUCAGAACUUGUCCGCCCUUCCCCCUUGAGGAGCUGAUCCAAACAGAAACUCCUUAGCUUUAAAGCACCCAGUCAGCUCACCCCAUCCUCCCUCACUUUACUGAUCGCCUACUACAGCCCAGCCCGCACACUCUGCAAUUAGCAUCAGCUUCUCUCUGGGCCCCCAACUCGUUUAUCACACCGCCAAUCCCUUUCCCCCAUCCUCCCCAUAGCCUGGAACUCCC